rnacentral:lncRNA from 1 species
GACGGCACAGGAGCACAGGAGCACGUCGCGCGCUCACCCCACAGAUCACCCCUCUGAUUCACACCGAACGGAGCACGAGGCGGCCGAGCACACCGGAGAGCGCUCACAACUUCCCUCACAAACUUCUCCGCGACCUCCGCGCCCAACUUCCCGCACCGCUCACGUGCGGCACCCAAAGCCACAAACUUUCCUCCCGGGGCCCCGCAGCCCCAGGCCGGACCGCCGCCCCCUCCCCCCCCCAACCCCGGGCCGGGCCCUGCGGACCCCCACGCCGCCCUCCCGGCCCCGUACCUCUGCAGCUCCGCUCGAUGCCUUUUUCCCCCUUUUUAUGUAUUUUUUUCCUCUCUCUCUUCUCCCUUUCCCCUCCCCCCUCCGCCAGAAGUAAAUAUGUACGGAGGGGAACGGGGGGAGGGGAGCGCUCCUCUUUACACAAAUCGAGCUAAAAAUAGGCGAUCCGGCACCCGCCUCGCCAUGGCUCCUUUCUUUAAUUCACCCCCAACGCCUCAACGCCGCCUUUCCCCCCCUAAAAGCCCCCAAAACGCGGCCCGGUGGGGGAGGGGCGGCCAGCAGCGCGGGGAGGGGGAAGGGACGCGGGGACCACCCCGCACCCCGCGGCCACGCGCACCCCCACGACGCCCCCAAAGCCCCCCGAAUCGGCCCCGAAGCGGCGCCCAUCCCCCGGCGCUUACCUGGGCGGCGGCGCUCCCCGUCCCCGGGAGCGGAGGCGCGAGAGGAAUCCGCCCGCGUCCGCCUCUCCUCCGUGGUUGUUUUUAUACGGCCAUAGAGACAGACGGGCACAUGUCUGUGUGUGUACACACCGAGAGGUUUGUUUAUUUUUUUGUUGAUCGAAACCACGUUCAUCGCUGGGUGGGCCUUUCCAUCGCACACUGCUUUUGCAGCAGCAUUUCGUGCUCCGGGGCAUUGGUCCCACACUCAUCGGCACUGCAGGGACCGCAAACCACCACGGGCCCCACUGCAGCACCAGGGCCUGUAUGAGGCUCCCACCAAGGCAGGGCUCAGAUGGACCUCCACAACACCGCCCUUCUGCGUAGUGGCCAAAGCGGGACCUCCGUGUCUUUCUGCAGAAUACGCUUCCACCAGGCCUGGCUCAAUAGGACUGUGGACACACGGGCCACAGACGUAGCUUCUUUUUGUUUAAUAUCUCAGAAUUGCAGGAGGAUCGCACUUGUUCUAACUCUGGAGCUAAGGGUGUGUUUCACUUGCAGCCUAACCCAGGCAGAUUUCGCUACCUGAGCUUCAGCUCCCAAGCAGAUGGGACUCUUCUGCUCCAUAAGAUCGUGAUGAAAGCAGACAGGGUGGGGCUGUGGGUGCAGCAGCACCUCGCAGUGCUCAUUUUUAGAGCCACGUCCAUGGGCUUCUCUUUGUUUUAGAAGAAGAAUAUUUAAAUUUUGCAGAAAGCAAGUUGGAGUUUUUUUGCAUCGCAAAGUUGUUUAAUUCUGAGAAAACCGUGGGCCUUCAAUCCGGUUGCUUAAAGAAGACUGAAGUGUCUAGAAAGCUGGGCAGCGUGUUUGUAAUGGCAAACCGCUCAACCUUUAUUUCUGUAAUCGCUUUGAUGGCAGAGCGGACAACUUUCUCUUCUCAGUGCUGGUGUGUAGGCUGUAAGGAUGCAGUAAGUUUAUGAAGUCCAACAGCAGAAUUUCAGAGGUCGUUGUCAUCUGAAGGCGAGACGUGAGCUGUUUGCUGAAGGUUGGGAAAUGUAAGAAGGGGAGGAAGAAGUGGCGAGAGACUCGCUCACACCUUCCUGUGUUAUCAUCUCAGAUGUACCCGUGCUUCUAAAGGAGUUUAACCUCUCGGUACUCGGAAGGACUUAUUUCCUAGUUAAGAGCAGAUAAGGAGUAAGGGUGGGUGGAGGAAGGGGGAAUGGGAACUUGCACGUAGCCUGAGGCAGAAGGAAAGACGAUAAGGGACCUCAUGUAGAGGACUGCCCUGAAGGAGGACGUGGCAGGGGCUGCAAAACAAGAUAGCAAUAGGAGAUUUAAGCCCAGAAAUGAGGGAGGGAAAACCCCUCAAGUGUGCCUUGUUUGGCCCACAGAAACUGCAAACACUGCCUUCCCAUCCAUCUGCCGAGCAGCGACAACAUGCUGAGCUGAAGUCAUCUGGCUGAAGGUUUCUGUGGUCUCCUGUUCACCAAAUGUUCAGUCACAACUCCAGCAUGCCAGGCUUUCACUUUCGAUUAUCGCGCACUGAGCUGGCGAUUACCUGCGUGCAUGUUCGGCCCUGCAGAAUCCGCGAAGUGCAUUCUGGCAGAUGUAUGCUGCAGUAACGUUCCCCCUUCCAUUUUGUUCCAUUUUCUCUUACUUUACUAUGGCCCCAGCUCAGUGAACACCUCACGAGCCCGCACAGGGCAUUACUUCGUGCUGCCACUUUCCAUGGUCUCGUCACCUCAACUUCUGGGAAGUCUUCUCACAGCCAUAUUUAUAAGGCAUAUCCUUAAAAUAGCUGAAAUUACUUGUAACAGUGAGUGCUCGGCCUACUAAGCACAUACAAGCAAAUAUUUGCAAUAACUGGACCGGUGUUUGCACAGCACCGAGCGCACCGCCUGGACUCCAUAAAUAAUAAUACUUGGCACUCACAGAGGGGUUUCCAUUUUCAAGGCACUUUAGUCAUAACCCUUGACACCUAUAUGGCCUUUUACAUCUUUACAAGAAUUAAUUAAUCCUCGCAGUGUCCUGUGAGAUAGGUAUGCAUUGCAGUAAUAACAAUAACAACAAUUAAUAAUUCAUGCAUUCUACUCGAAAAUCACUUCAGGGAUUAAAAUGCGUCUGUAAUACUAGGGGUUUUUUCAUUAACAUUUUCCAGCAAAUAAUAAAAUCCAUGGUAUUGUGUUAAAUCUGUAUAGUGUCUAACCAUAAAUCUUCUACAGACUGGGACGAAGCUGAAGGCCGAGCGAGAUGCCAGAACAUCAGCACGAAUUAGAUUACUGAGUUCAGAAAAGCAAGCUUGAGCCCAGUCCACCACGCAGCUUAGGUGCCAGAACGAAACUUCCCAUGUAUGGCAGUGCAUAAAUAAAUACGAGCGACCCAGGAAUGUUCUUCGUUCAUUUUUAGCUCUUGUUUAUGCAAAGACUCUCCUGGUUACAGCAUGCAUUGUAUUACCCUGUGCUGCAAGAACACAGCACCGGUGAUACGCUCUUACUGGGUGAGAAAUGACAGUGACUCAGCAGCGCGUUGUGCAACGGGGAGACCAGGGACAAGUCUGGCCAAUACUGGGGCAAACUUUCCCUCCUAAAAAUUACCAUGCUGCCUUUGAUAUGCAGGCGAGUGCCAGUUAAACCUGAUAUUUAAAUCUUGUUGGCUUUAAUAGCAGAAAUGAGCUGCUCCCACCGCACCUGGCUGCGGGUUUGCUGGCACAGGGCGAUGGUGCCUAUCGAGGGAAAUGGAAGCUCACCACUUUGAGAUCCACGAAGCAGCCGUUAGCCACAUGGUCACGGCAAAGCUGCAUUCAUGGCAGAGUUCUGACUCCCAUCUCGCAUCCUGCAAUGGCCGAGCAAAUCCAAACUUGUUUUACUUUAACAACAUUACGAAAAAGGGUGCGGUACUGGCAGCUAUCACACACCUCUGAAGUUUCAAGUGAGACAUACCUGGCUGCAGCUUCAGAUCAAAACGGAUUAUCUCACGGCACCAGGAUGUGGUUGCAAAAAUUCAGUGUUUUAAGUGUCAUCGUGAUUCAUAAAACAGUCUACAUUACGUGGUAUAAUUACUAAAUAAAAGUACAAGCACAAAAGGCGCAAAAUCUACUAGAUAUUUACCGUUAUCACUAUCACAUCAUAUUUGAAUAUUUCCUGGCAGCACAGGAGUGCAGCCAAUUUGAAGAGAAGUCCUCUUCCUUGCCAAUACUUAAGCCCCUGCUUUUCUCUCAUUAUACCUACGUUGUUCUCCUUCUCCACACGAGCAGAGGACUGGGAGCCAGGACUGUUUGCUCUCUAAUCAGAGUCCUGAAAGGCUCCUCAUGUGGCCUUCAGCAAGCUGUUUAUUAUCAGUGCAUGAGCUUCC